GAUUGGACCUGGACGUCGGCGCGGGAGGCGGGUGCGAGGGAGGGUCCCUCGGCGGCUCCCGGGCGUUGGCGGGAGGAGGAGACGGGCGCGCCGAGGCCUGCAGCCGGAGAAGCCGCCCCGGGGACGCAGCGAGGCCCACCUGGGGCCGCCCUGGGCGGCCGACCCGCGGCGAGUGUGGCUGCGGCUGCGAGGGGGCGGCCCGGACCCGGACGUUUCUCCCCGUGAAGAAAGAAGUGACAAAGGAGAAGAGGGAGGUGAGAAUGCGGCCUGUGAUGCUGGGACUGGAAUGUGCUUCAGGACUCCGAAGGCGGACAGUCACGGAAAUAAUGGGCGGUACACACGGUGUCGGUGCUCAGGGCACCUUACAGUUCCUGCCCCGUGACCCAGCGGCCGUCCAGGGCGUCCCAUUUCCUUUGCCCGUUUAUCACACAGGCCCGGGCGUUUGCUUCUAUUUCUGUUUCAGUGCAGUUGCCCGUCGUGUCGCCUUUGCCCGAGGACUGGCUGGCGGUCGCCGGCCUGGGGAGGUUUGCCAGCGCAGGGCCUGCCAGGACGCGGGGCGCUCCGUGUGCACUCGGGGUCACAGCUGGGUCCGUGCCACCUCCCGACUGGCAUCUGCUAUGUGGGGACAAGACUUUUCACUUCUCUUUCUCAGUUCUCCUGUCCCUUACCUCAAGAAUAUUUAUUUGGGGUUUUUUUUAACGGUACAAAAGGCAAGUAAAUCGUGUCUCAAAAGCAUAAAAGUAUAAGUUGUAGGAUAAGUUAACGAGUAACACGUCGGGAAAGAGAACCAUCAACUUUCAAGCGAAACGUGCUCACGGGAGGGGAGAAGGGAGACUCCUGUCCCGCAGCGCUUAUGAAAACCAGUGCUCUCCUUUAGGACACGGAGACCACCAGGACUGGCUCCUAGUUUAAGGUAACGUCCUUGAGAACGUCCUCUCUGCACGUCUUGUACACAUCUCUAAGUUCCUUUCCAGAGAUUCUUUGAAAUACUCCAGCCACAGCAGUCUUCCUUUUAGAUGGGUUAUGAAAAAGGAACUCAUAAAAAAAAAGAACUAAAACAUUCUUGGAAAGCAGAGUAACUCACACAGUCCCAAGUCGUUUACAGCAGGAAUAAGUGUGUAACUUCAAUUAAGCUCAUGUUCCCAAGGACAUGCUCACCAGGUCGCAGUCUGUGGGCGUGGGGCUGGGCGUGAGGUUACCCAGGCCUGUGCUUCUUUGGGAAAUGAAAGGUGGUUAAAGAGCCUUUCCUAAUAGUAGGAGACACAACGGGAACUGAAAUCAACACAAAGAUAUUUCCACAUUUGUCGCUCGUGAGAAUGGUCAGAGGGAGUGGGUCACAAUGCAGGACUGCACGUUCACCCUCGCACCUACUGAAGGACUUUUGCAUUGUUUCCUGCAAAGCCGUGAUUAACAUUCAAAACCACAUUCCUGAGCGAACAGUGCUUUUGUUUCUCAUGGGUCAAUACCUCAGAAUGGAAAAGCUGGUUCAUAAGGGCGUGCAUGUUUAAGAAGGAGCCGUUGGACACUUUUUUCUUUUUUCUUUCUUUCCUUCCUUCCUUUUUUCUUUGUUUUUUUUUCUUUCUUUCUCUCGAAAGAUUUUAUUUAUUCGAGAGAAGCAGGCUCCCUAUGGGGAACCCGAUUAGGAACUCGACCCCAGGACCCUGGGAUCAUGACCUGAACUGAAGGCAGACGCUCAACCACUGAGCCACCCAGGGAUCCCCAUGGGACAUUUUUCCAUAGCAGUUGUACUAUCGUCCAUCCACAGUAACAUCCUCAUCAAUAUCACCAGUCUUUCCCACAGCUGUGUAAUUCCAUCUCAUUGUGACUAGUUUGCAUUUUCCUGAGGACUAGCAAGAUGGAGAGGUCCUUUCAUGGGCUCGUCACCAUUCAGCUAUCUUUAGUUAUGUGUUCAAACUUUGUUCUAAUUUUUAAAAACGGUUUAUUGCUUUCUUGAAUUCUAAGUAUUUUCUAAAUAUAUUCUGAAUAUACUACUUUGCAGUAUUGUCAUAUUUUUCCCAUGAUGUGGCUUGCUAUUUCUUAAUAUCUUUCGAAAAGCAAGCUUUAAAUUUAAUUAAAAUCCAGUUUACCAGGA